CCCCGGUAUCAGAAGCCAGGCCUUGAUGCUUAGGAACGCACUAGAAACUGACUUCGGUGUAGAGAUGAAAAAGGGAACCUCUGUCCACGGAGGGUCAAAGGCUGGCAGGUGACUGAGCCCACAUUUGGACGCGAGUUUGACACCAACGCCUGUACUUUCAGUGUCUCUCUGCGUCCCGUGAGGAGGUCCGGGCACCUGGGGGGGCAGGGACUUGCGGGCAGUUUGGGAAGAGCAGGACUUAACGCUGUGACCUCUCAGAACCAUCUGGAAGCUUGGCACACGCUUGGCCCAAGACAUCUGAGCUCAGUGAGUCUGACAUUGGGACUGGUUACGUUGAGGGCUCUGAUGGCAGCUGUCUUCUCCAGGCCACCAGGCAAGGCUGUCUCCUCUAUGAGCUGUCAUCCCGCCCCAGUCCGGCGCCGGCCUCCCCACCACCGCCAAAGUCCCCGCUUGCUUCGGCUGCAGAAUCUGAAACUAGACCCAAUAUUUCAAUAAAAGCCUCAUUUAAGUUACA